rnacentral:lncRNA from 1 species
UUUUAGUGAAACGUUUCUUGAAAUUAAGAAUUAGUUUUUGACCCUUACAGAUGUCUCAAUUACACAUGUUUUAGUCCUAUUAACGUCUUUCUACAUAUGCCCAUGGAUGUCUUAAUAGCAUAUUUCACCAAAUUUGUUAAUUGUUGUGCUUAAAUACUUCAGUAUAGUGUCUUUCUCCAGAUCGAAAAUAGAGUACUUUUAUAUUGACAGUUCAUUUCUUUUUUCAAAUUAGUCAAAAACCUGUUUUGUUUUCGUGUAGUUGUUUUAAUUUUAGAAUUGGUCUAAUUACAUGUUUGGUAAACAUGGACAAUGAAAUGCAAGAUCAUGUAUAUUUGAAAAUUGCCAUAUUAUUUUGAUACCCUAUUCAGUACUCUUUCUGUGUGAAAUAGCAAUUAAACCCGAGGCAGAUUUAAGGGGGGAGGGAACCUUUGUUGCAAAAAUUUUUGUUGAUUAUUUAGAGAAUCACUGAAGAGACCUUAUCUGGACCCCUCUAAUGGCAGUCAGUUGGCCCCCUUAUGAAAAUUUCUACAUCUGCCAAUGUAAUAUCUGGCUAGGGAGGAAGUUUUAAUUGAUUUUAAAUCAUGUUUUAAAAAUUUGAUCAGCACCACCUCAGUAUACCUAGUUUCUAUAGAAUGUUUCAUAUUUUUGUCAUUGACUCAUUUUAUAUGUUGUGCCAAACUGCAUCUUUUGCAUUGACCUGCAUCUUUUAUGGUUCAUAAAAUAAUCGUGCUGUUUUUGUGCUUAAUCAAGACUGUGAUUAUUGUUUUUAUUAUUCAUUUUACCAUGUUAUAAUUUAUUAUUCAUUUUAUCAUGUAAUAUAUCAUAAAAACAUCUCAGUAAUGUAAUAGUUCUAGUCUCUGUACUCUGUGAAAUAGAAGUAAAGGAAGUCAAUUUCUUUUAGUAAAGCUCUGAUUUACUGGUAAACUAAUCUGCAUUGUUCUUUAUUUUCAGCAAAAGAAGUUUUAUUCUAUAUUAAGUCAGAUGUUAAUGAGAUCAGAUUUAUUAUACAGAUGAAUUGAUUAUUAUGUUGGAU